AUGGAUGUCUCUCAUCUCGCCGGUGACUUCCGUAUCAGACCCCGACGGAUCCGCUACAGCAAAAAUAUUGUGAGUAAUUCCCCUCAAAUGUUCCCCCGAAUGGGAAAGGAUGUUUCAGAUUCUGCCGGUGACUUCCGCAUCACUUUUGGUUGUGGAAUGCGUCCCUCAGAUUACUCGCGGGAGCCGCCUCGACAUCCAAGCCUCAAAAUCAACGCCAAGGAGCCUUUCAACGCGGAACCGCCGCGCUCGGCUCUCGGCGCCGUUUACGUCACUCCGGUGGAUUUGUUCUACAAGAGAAACCACGGUCCUAUUCCAAUAGUCGAUGACAUCCACAGUUACUCUGUUUCCAUAACCGGAUUGAUCCAAAAUCGGAAGCAGCUGUUUUUCAACUAUAUCAUGGCGCUUCCCAAGUAUAAUGUCACUGCCACAUUGCAGUGUGCAGGUAAUAGAAGGACAGCUAUGAGCCAAACUCGGACGGUCAAGGGAGUAGGGUGGGAUGUUUCUGCUGUAGGAAAUGCUGUAUGGGGUGGUGCGAAAUUGGCUGAUGUACUUGAACUGUUACAGGCGCGACUAAAUCUGGCGGAAAACAUGUUGAGUUUGUAAGCGUUGAUAGGUGUAAGGUACAACCUGGAGGCCCAUACAAAGCAUCAAUUCCACUGAUUCAGGCCACAAGCCCGGAUGCAGAUGUUUUACUUGCUUAUGAGAUGAACGGAGAGACCCUAAACAGGGAUCAUGGGUAUCCAUUGUGUGUGGUUGUGCCUGGUGUUAUUGGUGCCCGUUCUGUCAAAUGGCUUGAUUCGAUUAAUGUCAUUGCAGAGGAAUGUCAGGGCUUCUUUAAGCAAAAAGACUACAAAAUGUUUCCACCUUCAGUAAACUGGGAUAACAUUAAUUGGUCCACAAGGAGACCACAAAUGGAUUUUCCUGUCCGGUGUGUAAUUUGCUCUUUAGAGGAUGUGAAUGCAUUAAAGCAUGGAAAGGUUAACACCUACAAUAUCUAUCUCAUGAGCUUCUUUUGUGGAAAGGGGCGAUGCCUUGAAAGCACAAAAAAAAGCCAGGAAAGUGCAUAUAUUGGUUAUUCAUCGAGUUCUUGGGAGCUUUGUAAGACUGAGGCAUCACAGGAUAAGCAGUCCAUCUGGGGAUUUGGGUUGAAGUAUAAAUAUUUGUGUGGUGUUGUUUCUCCUUAAAUUGGCAGGGCAUUGCCUAUGAUCACGUGCGUGCUGGGGCAAAGGGAAUGUGGAGAAUACAGCAAAACAACGCAAAACAAAAACAAAGACUUUAGAAUCGAAGCUUUCAAACUCUAAUAUUAUUUCUUUAAAGAGUUGGAAUACUAAAACAUAAAACAAAGAUCAAAUAUAGGAGAUUUGACAGGACAAUGAGAUAAGGAAGAGAAGCAGAUAGCUAAUUUUUGGGGUGACAUCAUGGGACCCGCGCAUAGAGCACCCAGCAUGGCCUUGCAUGGUUUAGGCAGCUGGGGAAAACCGCACCCACCC